GAUGAACGCUAGCGGGAGGCCUAACACAUGCAAGCCGAGCGGUAGAGUUUCUUCGGAAACUUGAGAGCGGCGCACGGGUGCGUAACACGUGUGCAACCUACCUUUAUCUGGGGGAUAGCCUUUCGAAAGGAAGAUUAAUACCCCAUAAUAUAAUGAUUGGCAUCAAUUAUUAUUGAAAACUCCGGUGGAUAGAGAUGGGCACGCGCAAGAUUAGAUAGUUGGUGAGGUAACGGCUCACCAAGUCAAUGAUCUUUAGGGGUCCUGAGAGGGAGAUCCCCCACACUGGUACUGGGACACGGACCAGACUCCUACGGGAGGCAGCAGUGAGGAAUAUUGGACAAUGGGUGAGAGCCUGAUCCAGCCAUCCCGCGUGAAGGAUGACGGUCCUAUGGAUUGUAAACUUCUUUUGGACAGGGAUAAACCUACCCUCGUGAGGGUAGCUGAAGGUACUGUACGAAUAAGCACCGGCUAACUCCGUG
rnacentral:rRNA from 1 species